rnacentral:rRNA from 1 species
UGGGGAAUAUUGGACAAUGGGCGAAAGCCUGAUCCAGCAAUGCCGCGUGAGUGAAGAAGGCCUUCGGGUUGUAAAGCUCUUUUACCCGGGAAGAUAAUGACUGUACCGGGAGAAUAAGCCCCGGCUAACUCCGUGCCAGCAGCCGCGGUAAUACGGAGGGGGCUAGCGUUGUUCGGAAUUACUGGGCGUAAAGCGUACGUAGGCGGCUUUGUAAGUCAGAGGUGAAAGCCCACGACUCAAUCGUGGAACUGCCUUUGAGACUGCUUCGCUUGAAGAUGGGAGAGGUUAGUGGAAUUCCGAGUGUAGAGGUGAAAUUCGUAGAUAUUCGGAAGAACACCAGUGGCGAAGGCGGCUAACUGGACCAUUCUUGACGCUGAGGUACGAAAGCGUGGGGAGCAAACAGGAUUAGAUACCCUGGUAGUCCACGCCGUAAACGAUGAUAACUAGCUGUCGGGGCUCUUGGAGCUUCGGUGGCGCAGCUAACGCAUUAAGU